CAGCAGCCGCGGGAAUACAGAGGGUGCGAGCGUUAAUCGGAAUUACUGGGCGUAAAGGGCGCGUAGGCGGUUAGGAAGGUGUGAUGUGAAAGCCCUGGGCUUAACCUAGGAAGUGCAUCGCAAACCAACUAGCUGGAGUAUAAGAGAGGGUGGCGGAAUUUCCGGUGUAGCGGUGAAAUGCGUAGAGAUCGGAAGGAACGUCAAUGGCGAAGGCAGCCACCUGGCUUAAUACUGACGCUGAGGCGCGAAAGCGUGGGGAGCGAACAGGAUUAGAUACCCCAGUAGUCCCUGUCUCUUAUAC
rnacentral:rRNA from 1 species